GACGAACGCUGGCGGCGUGCCUAAUACAUGCAAGUAGGACGCAGUUGCGAACGGAUGAGUAACGCGUAGGUAACUACCUAUUAGAGGGGGAUAACUAUUGGAAACGAUAGCUAAUACCGCAUACUAGUAGAUGGACCUGCGUUGUAUUUGUUAGUAGGUAGGGUAAUGGCCUACCUAGGCAACGAUACAUAGCCGACCUGGGGGGGUGAUCGGCCAAAAUGGGACUGAGACAAGGGCCAGAAUCCCACGGGAGGCAGCAGUAGGGAAACUUCGGCAAUGGGGGGAACCCUGACCGAGCAACGCCGCGUGAGUGAAGAAGGGUUUCGGAUCGUAAAGGUCUGUUGUGAAGGAAGCGGUACUUAACCAGAAAGGGACGGCUAACUACGUGCCAGCAGCCGCGGUAAUAC
rnacentral:rRNA from 1 species